AAAACUUUCAACAACGGAUCUCUUGGUUCCAGCAUCGAUGAAGAACGCAGCGAAAUGCGAUAACUAAUGUAAUUGCAGAAUUCAGUGAAUCAUCGAGUCUUUGAACGCACAUUGCGCCCCUCGGUAUUCCGGGGGGCAUGCCUGUUCGAGCGUCAUU
rnacentral:rRNA from 1 species